CUUGGCACUGGAAGAAUUCACAGAUAGGUUAUGAAGUCGUGGGUUCUCGGGUGCCAAAGA
rnacentral:pre_miRNA from 1 species